UACGUAGGGGGCAAGCGUUGUCCGGAUUUAUUGGGCGUAAAGAGCGUGUAGGCGGCCAGUUAGGUCCGUUGUGAAAACUCGAGGCUCAACCUCGAGAUGUCGAUGGAAACCGUCUGGCUAGAGUCCGGAAGAGGAGUGUGGAAUUCCUGGUGUAGCGGUGAAAUGCGCAGAUAUCAGGAAGAACACCUAUGGCGAAGGCAGCACUCUGGGACGGUACUGACGCUGAGACGCGAAAGCGUGGGGAGCGAACAGG
rnacentral:rRNA from 1 species